GAGUUUGAUCGUGGCUCAGGACGAACGCUGGCGGCGUGCCUAAUACAUGCAAGUCGAGCGAGGGUUUUCGGACCCUAGCGGCGGACGGGUGAGUAACACGUAGGCAACCUGCCUCUCAGACCGGGAUAACAUAGGGAAACUUAUGCUAAUACCGGAUAGGUUUUUGGAUUGCAUGAUCCGAAAAGAAAAGAUGGCUUUUGGCUAUCACUGGGAGAUGGGCCUGCGGCGCAUUAGCUAGUUGGUGGGUAACGGCCUACCAAGGCGACGAUGCGUAGCCGACCUGAGAGGGUGACCGGCCACACUGGGACUGAGACACGGCCAGACUCCUACGGGAGGCAGCAGUAGGGAAUUUUCCACAAUGGACGAAAGUCUGAUGGAGCAACGCCGCGUGAACGAUGAAGGUCUUCGGAUUGUAAAGUUCUGUUGUCAGGGACGAACACGUACCGUUCGAAUAGGGCGGUACCUUGACGGUACCUGACGAGGAAGCCACGGCUAACUACGUGCCAGCAGCCGCGGU
rnacentral:rRNA from 1 species